rnacentral:rRNA from 1 species
UACGUAGGGAGCAAGCGUUGUCCGGAAUCAUUGGGCGUAAAGCGCGUGUAGGCGGCCUGCCAAGUCUGCUGUGAAAGCGCCUGGCUUAACCGGGCGAGGUCGGUGGAAACUGGCGGGCUGGAGGUCGGGUAGAGGGGGGUGGAAUUCCUGGUGUAGCGGUGAAAUGCGCAGAUAUCAGGAGGAACACCGGUGGCGAAGGCGGGUCUCUGGGCCGAUACUGACGCUGAGGAGCGAAAGCGUGGGGGAGCGAACAGG